UUUGCCGGCUGCCGCCGAUUGAGCCCCGGCCGGCCAGCCGCCGCCGCAGCCUCGCCAUCCACCACCUUUCCAUCUCUCUCUCUCUCUCUCUCUCUCUCUCUCUCUCUCUCUCUCUUUUCUCUGGUUGCAAGGAGGCCCGAGGCUGCACCACCUCCAGACCCUUCGCCGGCGUCGCCCCAUGCCCCGACGAGCCUCUCCGCCGACCGGCACCGCCUCCACGCGCCGCCACUGCCACCCCAGCACUUUGCUA
rnacentral:lncRNA from 1 species